UUUAGGAGGGGCGAAGCUCCUCUUAUUGUGAGGGCGAGUUAUAUAACACCAUAGGACUGGCCGUCCCAUAUGAAAAGAUUAUAUUAGAAUUGAAUGAAGCUUUGUUUAUAUAUUGAUAAUGACAGUAUAUAUAUCGUGUCUUGACUAAUUGCGUGCCAGCAGUCGCGGUAAUACGUAAGAGACUAGUGUUAUUCAUCUUAAUUAGGUUUAAAGGGUACCCAGACGGUCAAUAUAGCUUAUAAAAUGUUAGUACUUGACUAGAGUUUUAUGUAAGAGGGCAGUACUUGAGGAGGAGAGAUGAAAUUUCGUGAUACCAAAGGGACUCUGUAAAGGCGAAGGCAGCCCUCUAUGUAAAAACUGACGUUGAAGGACGAAGGCACAGAGAACAAACAGGAUUAGAUACCCAAGUAGUCUUUGCAGUAAAUGAUGAAUGCCAUAGUUAGAUGGGUGGGCUCGUCUAGUUGAGUUAGUUUAGCAAACUAAUGAUCUAGACGAGCCCACCGUAUAUUUGGUCUAUAAAUGAAAGUGUAAGCAUUUCACCUCAAGAGUAAUGUGGCAAUUU
rnacentral:rRNA from 1 species